AGCGCGCUUGGCUUUGUCCCGAGGUUAGAACUCGGGCCUUUCAUUUAUUGCACUUGCACAGUAUUUAUGGUGUCACAUCGGUAGAAGCCCUCCUGGCUUUGUCCCGAGGUUAGAACUCGGGCCUUUCAUUUAUUGCACUUAUUUGCACAGUAUUCGUCGUGUCGCAUCGGUAGAAGCCCGCUUGGCUUUGUCCCGAGGUUUGAUUUCGUGGUGGUUAUUUCGACCAUUGCACCUAUAGUUUGUAAAACGUCAUUGUUUUUAGCAUUCGAAGCGCCUCUUUGGCUUUGGCUUCAGAGUGUACUGCAGUGCGGUUGUUUCGUCAUUUCAACGAAAUUGUUAUAAAACAUUUUCUUGUCACUAACAAGGGUUUCAUACAAGUUCUCGGUCCUCUCACGUUUCUGACUGCGUCCGCCAAAAUGCUUUAAGUGGCAGGUCAUGAUGGCUCUGCUUGUGAAGCUCCAACAUUUUUGUGUUCGCCAUCAAGGCGGUUUUGUUUCCGGAGUGAUCGCCACUUUAAUUACUCCUUUGGAAUCUAUUA